rnacentral:lncRNA from 10 species
GCCUGGAGGAAGGGCAGGGCCGCGGGCUCGGCACUGGGAACAAAGGGGACCGGCGGAAGGAACGCCCCCAGUCGAUCCCGGAGCGAUGCCCGGGUGGACCAGGGGCUUAGCUCCGGAGAGAGGUUUCCCACUGGAUUCGUGCACAGCCCCUCCCCUGCGGCGCCGGCUCUGCGAGCCCCAGUUUCCUCAUCUGGCAGCUGGAAACAAAUCCUUCCGGAAGUGUCCAGGACCCACGAAAGUGUUUUAAUUUCUUUUAGUUUUGGUAAAAAGUACUAAACGCGACCGGGCGUGGGGGCUCACGCCUGUAAUCCCAGCACUUUGGGAGACCGAGGCUGACGGAUCACUUGAGGUCAGGAGUUCGAGGCCAGUCUGGCCAACAUGGUGAAACCCCGUCUCUGCUCAAAAUACAAAAAUUAGCCGGGCGUGGUGGCAUGCGCCUGUAAUCCCAGGUACUCGGGUGACUGAGGCAGGAGAAUCGCUUGAACCCGGGAGGCGGAGGUUGCAGUGAGCCAAGAUCGCACCAUUGCACUCCAGCCUGAGCGACAGAGCGAGACCCUAUCUCAAAUAAAUAAAUACAUACAUAAAAAGGGCAGGGCACGGUGGCUCACGCCUGUAAUCCCAACACUUUGGGAGGCCGAGGCGGGCGGAUCACCUGAGGUCAGGAGUUCGAGACCAGCCUGGUCAACAUGGUAAAACCCCUUCUCUACUAAUAACACAAAAAUUAGCUGGGCAUGGUGGCGGGCGCCUGUAGUCUCAGCUACUCAAGAGGCUGAGUCACGAGAACCGCUUGAACCCAGGAGGUGGAGGUUGCAGUGAGCCAAGAUCACACCACCGCACUCCAGCCUAGGCAACAGAGUGAAACUGUGUCAAAAAAAAAAAAAAAAAGAAAAAGAAAAAGAAAGAAAGAAGAAAGAAAGAAAAGAAAAGAAAAAAGAAAAGAGAAGAAAAAGUACUGAAUGCAGUGGAAAGUAGCAUUUUUAAUUUUUUAUAAAGUGGAAGAUAGGCCCACAAAGCAAAAGUGCCCAGAGCUGACAAAAAUCUCUGGAGAAAGGACCUCUCUGGUCGUUGCCAAAGGGAGCAGCUGACGCUGUUGUAAAGCCCGCAGCUCGAUUCCCAGCGUGAAGUAGGGGGUGAGAAUAUGACAGCCUCCUGAUGAUCACGGAAAGUUUGCGUCAAAUGCCGAAUGACCGUAGAAAGGUGGACGUUGAGUUCUUCAGCAGCUUCUGGUGUAGUUGUAAGAGGACCAGCUUCCGUGAUUGCUCUCAGUUGGUGGUUGUCAACUUCCGACGACUGGCCGCUACGCUCCUCAUCUUCAAGGCUCUCCUCUCUUUUGCAAAACUUCUUGAACCCCCACUGCACGGUAACUGUGGCCACGUGGACCAAGCCAACGCCGGCUCCUCUCAUUCCCAUUGAGAUCAGCAAGGCAACUCCAGCCUGUACCACCAAUAUCCCCAGGCCAGGAGAACAGCCAGUGAAAGCCCAUUUGAAAGACUGCCAUAUUCCUCACCAAUCCGUUUCUCAAGGCCAAGCAUUCAGAACAUUAGCCAAAGCAGCAAACUGCUAAAGCAGCUGCCCACACCCCCUGAAAGAAUGCACCUAAAUCAAUAACUUCAUUCCAGUAUGACUAUACAUAUUGGUGCAGCCAUGCUCUUCCUUCAAGAAGCAAUUCUUCAUUCUCCUUCCAUAAUAAUGCAUUUCACUCCCAGGCCUGGUUGAGUUUCAAUUCUGGUUACCAGCCAGGUAAAAAUGUGUAGUAGCAGGGCAUGAGAGCGUGGUUAUUUUCCCUCAAAGGGCGAGGACUCUUCCUAAGGGAGGAGAGGCACAGUGGAGUGUUGUAGAGUGGUAGGACCGGGGGAGUCUCGGAAUAUUUCUGGAUAUUUUUAUUCCAGUUCCAUCUUGUCGGGCUUUCUUUCUUUCUCAACCAUUGCCCUCACUUUUGGUUAAAAGUA